GGCUAGAUGGCCGAGCGGUUAUGGCGUGUGACUCAAGAUUCUCCUUAUCCGCAGAAAAUGUGGAAUUCUCAUGGGGAAACCCGCGGGGGUUCGAAUCCCCCUCUAGUCA
rnacentral:tRNA from 1 species